rnacentral:rRNA from 1 species
ACUUAAUGGAUUUGGCGGUAUCUGAAACUUAUCAGAGAAACUUGUUUUUGAAUCGAUAGUCCCCGAAGUAUCUUACCUUCUGUUGUAAUUUUCAGUAUGUAUACCGUCAUAGAUGUAAUUUUAAUAAAAUUAAAUUAUUUAAAUAAUUAGUUAAUAGAGUUGACAUUAGAUCAAGGUGCAACAAAUAAGAAGGAUAAAAUGAGUUAUAGUGUAGUGUUAUUUAGAUAGGAAAUUGAAAUUUUUCUUUGAAAGUGGAUUUGACUGUAAAUAAUAUUUUAAUAUGGUAGUUUGAUGUUAGUUCUGAGAUAUGU